AAUUAAAGGGCUGCAGUAUAUUGACUGUACAAAGGUAGCAUAAUCAUUAGUCAUUUAAUUGAUGACUUGUAUGAAAGAUUGGAUGAAAUAUGAACUGUCUCUUAUUUAAAUAUAAAAUUUAAUUUUUUUAUCAAAAAGUUAAAAUGGUUUAAAAAGACGAGAAGACCCUAUAGAGUUUUAUUAAUAUAUUAAUUAAGAUUAUAUGUAAAAUAAAUUUAAAAUUAAAUUAUUAAUUUUAUUGGGGUGAUAAAAAAAUAUAUUUAACUUUUUUUAAAGUAAAACAUUUAUAAGUGGUUAAAUGAUCCAAUAAUGUUGAUUAUAAGAAUAAAUUACCUUAGGGAUAACAGCGUAAUUUUUUUUUUUAGUUCAAAUAAAAAAAAGAGUUUGCGACCUCGAUGUUGGAUUAAGAUAAAAUUUAAAUGCAGAAGUU
rnacentral:rRNA from 1 species